UGCGGUUUACGGCUCCUCUUCCGGUUGGCUCCUUACAUAACUUUAUUGGCAGCUCCGGGCACGGACAGGAUACAUCCGGGGUGGGUUGGGGGCGGGGAGCCGGAAGCCCCGUGGUCCCUGCGGGCUGAGGGCUCAGCCUAGCGACCGGAGGCACGCCUCGGAAGUGUAUGGUCCUGAGGGAGUGAAUGGCAGAGGAGUUUGGGGUGGGCAGGUUUCCAGAACAGGUGCCGGAGAGGUCUGCAGCUCAAGCUGGAACUGCCUGCAGGCCACUGUGAGUUUCACUAAAGUAGUCCAUGAUCUUGCUGCCUCCACGUCCACGAAGUAUGGCCAGGCAGCCUGCAGAGCCUCUGGACCAGCACCAGCCCCUGCCAUGAGCACACGUCCUAGAUAAAGCCUGCAGAGUCACAAUCAGAUGGACCAGACAGAAGGAAAAGAGCUGAAAGACCUGCAGGACAGUGAUGCAUGUCACCAGGGUUCUAGAAAAAGAGGAGGAAGAACGUGGGCUGAAGGUAAAGUUAAAAGAAAUAAUGGCUAAAACUGCCCCAGAUCUGGCUGCCAGAUACCUGCGCACUUGUGCUCACUGCAGCCGAGAGGCAGAAGCGUCCUGAGUGGCCCUCAUGGUGACAGAAACACAAUGUGGUUGGUCACACGAUGGGCUGUCCUUUAGCCUUAGGAGGGAAGGGCCGCCAUGGACUGUGACGGGUGUGGACCUCAGAAACAUGCUCAGUGAGAGAAGCCGGACAUCGGAGACUGUAUCCUAGAUUCUCCUUCCGUGGAGCCCCUGACCAUGACACGGUGGCCGGGGCAGUGACUUUCUUCUGGGACGUCUAGAUGCCAGAGGCUGUUUCGAUGCAGGAGAAGGCAGAGCCCCCCUGCUCAAUGAGUUUGGGGAGGAGCUAGCAGACCCCUCGCCGGCCCCCCCCUGCUCGCAGCCACAGACAUGCCUCCCCAGAGGACGAUGUGUUCCAACUCUCUGAGCUGAGUCUGGCGUUUCCAUCACUUCCUAGCCCUGGACACUUAGAAACACUGAGCUGACACUGGGUUUGUACCUUAACAUAACCCUAGAACUUUGGAUUCUCUCUCCUUGAGCCAAAAUGUGAUGCAGCUGUCCAAAUGUGUACCACGGGAGAGACAGAACUUCCUCCACCGAAGGAAUAAAUACUAAAGAGCUGGGAGAGGUAAGGAAAGGGGAUUUCCAUGUCUGCUCCGGAGUCUUGCUUGUUCGGUGUUCUGGUGACACAGACUUUAAAGUGUGUCAUAUAAGUCAGUGUAAUAAACUGAUUUUAGCAGAUAGCACGUAGCUGGUUCAUUCAUUCAUCAUCUCAUCCAACAAGUAUUUGUGGGGCGUUGAACAUUUCCGGGCAUCCUGGGAGGCGCUGGGACACUGCAGUGAGUCAAAGCCGAUGCAGUCACUUCUCACGCAGUUGAUGGCUGGGAGGGGAGGUCACUGGCCAAAUGGUGACACCAACGGGGCCCUCAAGCAGUGCGACGUGGUGUGGAGGGACUCUGGAAGUAGGGUCCGAGGCCCAGGAGCUCAGCGGGCACAGAGGAAGGGAGUGCUGAUCUGGGGAAGGAAGAGGAGCACAGAGGCCUCAGUUGGCUUGAAGAUGUCACUGGCUUUGACCUGUCCUGAGGGGCGAGUCAGGAGGCAGCGGGAGGGCUGGGAGGCGGUGGGGCCUGUGGGCAGGACCUGAGUUCCUUUGCAGAACCCAGCAGCCACUCAGGGCGGAGGGGGAGGGUGACGUUGCGGACGCUCCGGGUCUCUGGCUUGGGCCUGGUGGAAGGCUGGGGCCUCGCUGGGAGGCAGCUCUCCACACAGCGACGUGGGCUUCCUUGGUGGGCAGCUCUAAGGCACCCAGUGCUGCAUUUUAAAUCUAGCCUCAGGAUGCCUAUGUUGUCACUGGCUCUGCAGCCACACGGGCCCUCGGGGGAAGCUGAGGAGAGGGUCACAAGCCAGGAGCUCAUGGGAAGCCCACUGCCCUUAGGCCCUGCGUCAUGAACUGGGAGCCUUAAAGACUCCCAGCGCCUGGGGCCCCAGGCAUUCUAUCCGGUAAGGGGCUGUGGUCAGCAUCUGGUGUAUACUUGUUCACGCAGUCACUUUGUUUCGGUGUGGCCCCUUCCCUGUUCUGGUUGGGGGGGUGUGGUGUGUGAGGCCAAAGCUUCCCUCACCACUGGCUCUCACUUCCUUGGGGAAACUGUCCCUGAGGUUUUGGGGGAAUCUGUGGUGUGAACUGGGUUCUUGAUGUUCCCAGUUCACCGAUUAGUAUUCUUGGUUCCGAUUAGUCAGUGAUGACUCUCCUGUCCUCUUUCAGGCUCCCAGAAUUUUCUUAUGGUCUUCUCUGGGUCUUCCAGUCCUUGAGGGCGUGACUUUAGAAACAAAAUCCCUUUGGGGAGCCUAGCUAGUGGGUGACCUCCGGCUCAGGUCAUGAUCCCGGGG